AUUUGCUAUACAAACUCAAGUCGUGGAUUCUGUGUGGAGACCCAGCUGUGCUAAGAAAAGCAUCAUUGAAGGGGCCUGUGUGCUAUGUGAGACUCCAUGACAGCCUUCUUCAGUCCUCAAGAGCUUCCUCACAGUCCACCUCCACCAUGAGAAUGUGGAGCCUCUACCUGCACCUUCAGUUCUCCAAGGAUGAAGCUCUACUGUCUCCUGAGAGUUUGGCUCCUGCCCUACCGCUCUCCUCCAGCCAUGCCAGGAUGGUGCUUCCUAGCCUUGACAGAUACGUGCUUUAGACACAUGCCUCUACCAUUAGACAGUGCCACUUGCGUGGAUUAAUGAUCGCCAGGUCAAGUUGCCCAGCAUGGAAUGAG
rnacentral:lncRNA from 1 species